rnacentral:tRNA from 1 species
AGAUAGUUAGUUUAAAAAAAACAUUUGAUUUCGACUCAAAAACUUGUAGUUAAACCCUGCAACUGUUUA